UACAGAGGCCUCGAGCGUUAGGCGGAAUCACUGGGCUUAAAGCGUGUGUAGGCGGACUUCUAAGUACCUUGUGAAAUCCCACGGCUUACCCGUGGAACGGCUGGGUAUACUGGGAGUCUUGAGCCACCUAGGGGCGAGUGGAACAAAUGGUGGAGCGGUGAAAUGCGUAGAUAUCAUUUGGAACGCCAAUGGCGAAAACAACUCGCUGGGGGUGUGCUGACGCUGAGACACGAAAGCCAGGGGAGCGAACGGG
rnacentral:rRNA from 1 species